GACGAACGCUGGCGGCGUGCUUAACACAUGUAAGUCGAACGAUGAAGAAAAGAAUUGCAGCUUCGGCAGAAAUUCAUUUCGGAUUAGUGGCGGACGGGUGAGUAACGCGUGAGCAACCUACCUCUUACAAAGGGAUAGCCUCGGGAAACCGGGAUUAAUACCAUAUAACAUUGCGACGAAGCAUUUCGAUGCAAUCAAAGCUACGGCGGUAAGAGAUGGGCUCGCGUCCCAUUAACCAGAUGGUGAGGUAACGGCUCACCAUAGUAACGAUGGGUAACCGGCCUGAGAGGGUGAACGGUCACACUGGAACUGAGACACGGUCCAGACUCCUACGGGAGGCAGCAGUGGGGAAUAUUGCACAAUGGAGGGAACUCUGAUGCAGCGACGCCGCGUGAGUGAUGAAGGAAUUCGUUUCGUAAAACUCUGUUCUAUGGGAAGAAAAGGACUGUACCAUAGGAGAAAGCUCCGGCUAAAUACGUG
rnacentral:rRNA from 1 species